GUUCAGAGCAGCAGAAGCCGGCGUCGUCGGAUGUUGUGUUGCCCGCCACCAUGAGCUACACAGGCUUUGUCCAGGGAUCUGAAACCACUUUGCAGUCGACAUACUCGGAUACCAGCGCUCAGCCCACCUGUGAUUAUGGUAAGUGUGGACUUCUGGUGGGAACCAAAGUGUUCUGCAGAGCAGUUCCUUGUCUUCUUAGUUGCCUUUGGCUUUGCUGUCACCCUGUCAUGCUUUUUUAAACCUAAACUUGUGUGAAAUGGUGUGGCCAUUUGAAUAGCUAGUGCUUCCCUUUCAGGCAAUUAUGGGAAAAGUAGCUGUGUUCCUGAGCAAGUUAGGCUCUUUGAUAAAAGGCCUGGCUUCAAAUCCCCAUGGGGGAGGGACUGGGAGUCACAGUGGCCAAUUAAAGUCCAAAGGAGGCCAGGCGCGGUGGCUCCUGCCUGUAAUCCCAGCACUUUGGGAGGCCGAGGCGGGUGGAUCACUUGAGGUCAGGAGAUCGAGACCAUCCUGGCCAACAUGGUGAAAUGCCAUCUAUACUAAAAUACAAAAAAUUAGCCGGGCAUGGUGGUGUGUGCCUGUGGUCGCAGCUACUCAGGAGGCUGAGGCAGGGGAAUCACUUGAACCCGGGAGGCAGAGGUUACAGUGAGCCGAUAUCAUGCCACUGCACUCCAGCCUGGCAACAGAGCAAGACUCUGUCUC
rnacentral:lncRNA from 10 species